AUACCAGAGAAGAAGAUGACGCUGCUGCGCUAUAGUAGUGGGGAACAGGAAGUUCCGGGUCGAAACGACAGAACUGUGCUGUUGUGUCGAUAGUGGUUGUGUCUGCUUCAAAUGUAUCAUUGUAGACCGACUCAUAUUAAGUCUGAGGCCAGUAACAUCAACAGUGAGGACAAACUCAGCCUGCCACUCUCCUUCCACACUGAGUUGAAACCUACAGUCACUGGGUCCUGAUUGUGACAGUGGAGCCCAGUUUGCACCGUAGGAUCCAGAGAUGGCAUCAGUGAAGCUGGAAGACUGCAGUCAAACACUGGAGCUGAAUGUCAACAUUAAAGAUGAAGAAGAGGAGGAGAAGAUUAGGACAACUGUUAGUCAUGGAUACCAUGUUGAGACAUUCUCCACAUCCAGUGAGCAACAG